GCGUUGGGAGCUCUCCCAUAUGGUCGACCUGCAGGCGGCCGCGAAUUCACUAGUGAUUCGUAUUACCGCGGCUGCUGGCACGAAGUUAGCCGGGGCUUCUUCUCCGGGUACCGUCAUUAUCGUCCCCGGUGAAAGGAUUUUACAAUCCUAAGACCUUCAUCAUCCACGCGGCAUGGCUGCGUCAGGCUUUCGCCCAUUGCGCAAGAUUCCCCACUGCUGCCUCCCGUAGGAGUCUGGGCCGUGUCUCAGUCCCAGUGUGGCUGGCCAUCCUCUCAGACCAGCUACUGAUCGUCGCCUUGGUGAGCCAUUACCUCACCAACUAGCUAAUCAGACGCGGGCCGCUCCAAAGGCGAUAAAUCUUUCCCCCGAAGGGCUCAUCCGGUAUUAGCACAAGCUUCCCUGUGUUGUUCCGAACCUAAGGGUACGUUCCCACGUGUUACUCACCCGUCCGCCACUAUCCCGAAGGACCGUUCGACUUGCAUGUGUUAAGCCUGCCGCCAGCGUUCGCUCUGAGCCAUGAUCAAACUCUAAUCGAAUUCCCGCGGCCGCCAUGGCGGCCGGGAGCAUGCGACGUCGGGCCCA
rnacentral:rRNA from 1 species